CAAAAACACACACACACACACACCGAUUUAUGCACACAAGGAUGCAGAUGAGGUGAGAAGUGGUAUUGUGGUUUGGUAGCUUUGUAGUAAUAUGGGAUGUGAUCCAUUUUGUUUGUCUCAUCCAGUCGACCUAAUGGAUUGGGCUAAGAGGUGACAUUCGGGGGCAAGGGCAAGUUUGUCACAAAUGGCAUGAGACCCUAACCAGAGAACCCCCCCCUCAACAACCACCCACCCCCCCACCUGACCCCAGCCAGCAGGCCGUCAGGUGCAGUGAUCACCUGGACACCAUCAGCGAGGCCCAAACUUCACACCCACCUCUGAAGAUAAUAAAGGACCUCAUUAAUUGAUCCUUAAUUAAACCACAGAUAAACCACAUCUAAAAUAUAUUUUUUGUAAAUAUAUAGGGGGCUUGAUAGAGGAUAGAUACCAAACAGGCUUUUUUACACUCCUAUACCCUUAGACAUGAACCCAAUCUGUGAUUAGCUUCACACCCUAACAUGGCUUCUAACAUGGUUUCAACAAGGUGGUCAUCGAUGUCAAUUCACACACAUGCACUUUCACACCGCCUAGCUGUUUGAUUCCCAGACCAUGCCUGAUGAGACACCAAGCCGUGCACGUCAUAUCCAGCCAUCAUACACUAUCGGUGCUUAAAUCUGACCACUGGCACAUUUAUAAUCGGUAUAUAAUAUAUACUCUCCAGACACAAUCAGAGAGCAUGACAGUCAUACACAGUUGUUAUAUAAAUAAAAUGUAUUAUUAUUAUUAUUAUUAAUAUUGGGAUUAUUAUGAGUUUGAUAUGCGGAAUACAGGAAGGCAGCCAGAUCACUACAGACCGCAUCAUACAGGAAGUUGCGGUCCAACAAUCAUGGUUUAAUGUUGCUGCACGCAAAGUCACUAGCAAUAAUAUGUGUGCGGUUGCCCAAUCACAAGAACACCUUUUAAGAAAUAGUAGGUGAAGUAAAUAUACAGUUUUAUUUGAUAAAAAAAAAGGCCUAUUUCAAUCUGUUUGAUCACAAGGUGAAUUAAAUAUUUGCCUGUGAACGGAAAUGAAAGCCUAUAUGUUUUUGAGAGAUACAAUGUUCAAUCUAUUCUGGGCCAUCCAGGGUCAAGGAUUUGGGCUCCUGUUUGUUUCAAACCUGCCCCGGUUUAUCAGAAGUCCUUCAGGCCUGUUGGAUUCUGACUUGUUUUGUUUGAAUGUGCAAACUUGUACUUGCUUUAGCAAUAAAAUGAGAAAAACAACAAG
ensembl:lncRNA